GAGAAUUUAUUUCGUGAUGUUUGUUAGUACUUUUAAGUUAUCGUAUAAGGGAUGUUAACCUUAACCUUUAUUUUGCUUCCGCACUGAAAUUAUUAUAUGCAUUUCCUUUUGAAUUCCGGGGCCGUUACAUAUGAUGUCAAUUAUGUAUGAAAGCUUACCCUUCCUUACUCUUUUCAUAAGAUGCCUUGAUGAAUUCCUCACAUUUCAAUGCCAU
rnacentral:lncRNA from 1 species